UACGGAGGAUCCGAGCGUUAUCCGGAUUUAUUGGGUUUAAAGGGAGCGUAGGUGGAUUGUUAAGUCAGUUGUGAAAGUUUGCGGCUCAACCGUAAAAUUGCAGUUGAAACUGGCAGUCUUGAGUACAGAAGAGGUGGGCGGAAUUCGUGGUGUAGCGGUGAAAUGCUUAGAUAUCACGAAGAACUCCGAUUGCGAAGGCAGCUCACUGGAUUGCAACUGACACUGAGGCUCGAAAGUGUGGGUAUCAAACAGG
rnacentral:rRNA from 1 species